UGUUAGCAGGACUGCAAAUCAGGUGAGGUUUUGAGGACCAGCUCCCCUGGUUAUUUGUUGACAGUGGCACACAUGGAUCAACAUUACUUCUGAAGUUACCAGAAGGUCUGGUACAUGGGAUGCACUCCUUGGCAGGAAUACCAGAAGGUCUGGCAGAUGGGAUGCAUUCCUUGGCAGGCAUACCAGAAGGUCUGGUAGAUGGGACGCAUUCAUUGGCAGGCAUACCAAAAGGUCUAGUAGACGGGAUGCAUUCCUUGGCAGGCAUACUUCUGAAUGAAGACAUGUCAUCUGCAUUAGUUCUUGUGCUGAAAACCCCUUGUGAUACUGCAGAGGGC
rnacentral:lncRNA from 1 species